GACGAACGCUGGCGGCGUGCUUAACACAUGCAAGUCGAACGGAAAGGCCCUGCUUUUGUGGGGUGCUCGAGUGGCGAACGGGUGAGUAACACGUGAGUAACCUGCCCUUGACUUUGGGAUAACUUCAGGAAACUGGGGCUAAUACCGGAUAGGAGCUCCUGCUGCAUGGUGGGGGUUGGAAAGUUUCGGCGGUUGGGGAUGGACUCGCGGCUUAUCAGCUUGUUGGUGGGGUAGUGGCUUACCAAGGCUUUGAAGGGUAGCCGGCCUGAGAGGGUGACCGGCCACAUGGGGAGGGAGAGAGGGCCGGGACUCACUCGGGGGGAAGGGGGGGGUAGGAGUGCAAACGGGGUGGAGGCAGGCGGGACGAACCCCGGGUGCGGGAGGACGGCAGGCGGUUGGAAAGCAGAUUUCGCUCGUGACGAACGGUGAUGACGGUAACUGGGGAAAAAGGCCCGGCUAACUUCGUG
rnacentral:rRNA from 1 species